AAAAAGGAAGCAUUAUGGCUAUGCGGUUCGCUUGAAACUAGUUAAAGUAGGUUCGACUCCUAUUCUUUUUG
rnacentral:tRNA from 1 species